CCCAUCCCAUCCCAUCCCAUCCCAUCCCAUCCCAUCCCAUCCCAUCCCAUCCCAUCCCAUCCCAUCCCAUCCCCUCUGCUAUGGAAGCUGUCUGAGGGUCACCUGGAAAUGUUGCCAUCCCCAUCCCAUGGGUAGUGGUUGGGUGCCAAGUGCUGUAGGUGAGAGGGGCAGGGGUGUGCUUUUAAACAUGAGGUGGUGUUGGGAUGUUGAGUUAAUGGGGUUAUCAUGGAGUCCCAAACAUAAAGUGUGGGGUUGGGGUGCCGAUGUGAUGGGUGUGGGGGAGGUCCCAGGUGUAUCAGGAUGCCAGAAUUAUGGAAGGAGGUGGGUUCCAAAUGUUAUGGGUAGUGGUGGGGUCCUGAGCAUGAUAGGUGGUGUUGAGUUCCAAGAGUGAUGGCUGGUGUUGGAGUCCCAGAUGAGAUGCUGGGAGGGGUUGGGAUCCCAAGUGCUAUGGGUGGUGUUGGGGGUGUUAAGCAUGAUGGGGGGCUCGGGGGUGUUGAGGCGCGUUUCUGAGCGUGUCCCCCGCCCCCAGGACCCUCUGGAACGGGAGCGGGCGCUGCAGCUGCAGAUUGCCGAGGCCUCCCGCCGGCUCUGCCGCGAGGAGAACAUCGGCCGGCAGGUGCGGAAGAGGCGGCAGACGGCAGCACUCCGGGAGGAGCAGAAGCUGCGGGAUCUGGAGCAGGUCCUGAGUCAGCGGCGGCUCCUGGCAGAGCAGCGGGACACCAGUACUGCCAAGGAGGACACACGGCCACCAGGACCUGCCACCCCACAGAGGUCCCCAUCUCCCAAGGACCCCACCAAGAAGGAGGAGGAGUCAGGGCUUCUGAUGCCCUCCACUAUUCCCUGGCAGGAGACCAGCCUGCACAGACCCUAUGAGAGGGCCAAAAAUCCCAGCAUCGACCGUGAGGAUGGGGAAACCCAGAGCUCCCAAUGCUGUCUUGGGUCCCUGAUGGCUGCCCCUUCCAGCUCCUUGGCCCCCAACAGCCCUGACUCUGCAGGCUCCCCAGUGUCCAGGACAGGGGACCCUCCCUACCGGUUCGUCCCCAUCCGGACCCUGGUGCUGUGCCGGCAGGCAGGUUCCAGUGCUCCCACCACCCCUGAGCCAUCAGGACGGCAGGGACAGACCCAGUCUCUGAGGUAGGUCCUGAGCUUGGGGAGGAUAGACAAGGGUUUCUGCUACAGAGGAUGGAGAUAACCCCAUGGAGAGGGGGAUGGCGAUAAUCCCAUGUGGAGGAUGGAGCUCAGUCCAUGCGAAGUAGGAUGGGAAUGACCCUGUGAAGAUGAUGGAGCUCAGCUCAUGGGGAGGAUGUUGGAAAUAAUCGCAUAGGAAGGAUGGAGAUAGUCCCACUGGCUAACCCAGUGGGAAGGAGGAUGGGAGUAAUCCUAUGGGAGAGGAUGAAGAGAACCUCAUGGAGAUAAUGGAGCUAAACGCACGGGGAGGAGGAUUGAGAUAAUCCUAUGGAGAAGAUAAUGGAGAGAACACCAAGGGAAGUGUGGACCUAAUGCUAUGGGGAGGAUGGAGAAAAUCUUUUAGGGAAGACAGAUAUAAUCCCAUGGGGAGGGGAUGGAACUAACCCCAUGGAGAUGAUGGAGCUCAGUCAUUGGGAGGAUGGAGACAAUAUUAUGGGGAGGAUUCAGAUAAUCCCAGAGACAGGAUGAAGAUAAUCCUAUGGGGAUGUGGGAGAAAACCCUCUGGGGAGGAUGGAUGGAAAUCCACUGGGAGGAGGUUGGAGAUGAUCCCAUGGAGAGGAUGGAAGUAACCCUAUAGAGACUCUAGAGGUCAGCCCCAUGGGGAGGAUGAACUAAUCCCUUGGGAGGAGGCUGGAGACUGCCCCACAGGGAAGCUGGAGCUA
rnacentral:lncRNA from 1 species